CAACCUGAGAGUUUGAUCCUGGCUCAGAACGAACGCUGGCGGCAUGCCUAACACAUGCAAGUCGAACGAGGGCUUCGGCCCUAGUGGCGCACGGGUGAGUAACGCGUGGGAACCUGCCCUGUGGUACGGAAUAACUCCGGGAAACUGGAGCUAAUACCGUAUGUGUCUUGAGGGACAAAGAUUUAUCGCCAUGGGAUGGGCCCGCGUAGGAUUAGCUUGU
rnacentral:ncRNA from 1 species